GAGAAUUUGAAAUGAAGGAGAAUUUGAAUUUGAUGUUAGCUUUGGUGCUUGUGGUUUAUGCACUUCAUUUAGAUUCAUAUAAUGACAAUUUUGUUCAUGAAUAUGGCUGAAGAUUUUUUUGAUAAUGUUUUGAACUGAUUACCAACAGGGUGUCACAGACAGUAAGAUUUGGUUAAAGAAGAUUCGCUUCUUUCUGCAAGUCCAAAUCCUAGUGACAAUUUCAACAAAGAACUCAAAUACAA
rnacentral:misc_RNA from 1 species